UUAGUGGCGAACGGGUGAGUAACACGUGGGCAAUCUGCCCUGCACUCUGGGACAAGCCCUGGAAACGGGGUCUAAUACCGGAUACUGAUCCUCGCAGGCAUCUGCGAGGUUCGAAAGCUCCGGCGGUGCAGGAUGAGCCCGCGGCCUAUCAGCUAGUUGGUGAGGUAACGGCUCACCAAGGCGACGACGGGUAGCCGGCCUGAGAGGGCGACCGGCCACACUGGGACUGAGACACGGCCCAGACUCCUACGGGAGGCAGCAGUGGGGAAUAUUGCACAAUGGGCGAAAGCCUGAUGCAGCGACGCCGCGUGAGGGAUGACGGCCUUCGGGUUGUAAACCUCUUUCAGCAGGGAAGAAGCGAAAGUGACGGUACCUGCAGAAGAAGCGCCGGCUAACUACGUGCCAGCAGCCGCGGUAAUACGUAGGGCGCAAGCGUUGUCCGGAAUUAUUGGGCGUAAAGAGCUCGUAGGCGGCUUGUCA
rnacentral:rRNA from 1 species